GAUCCUGGCUCAUGAUGAACGCUAGCUACAGGCUUAACACAUGCAAGUCGGAGGGGCAGCAUGAACUUAGCUUGCUAAGUUUGAUGGCGACCGGCGCACGGGUGAGUAACACGUAUCCAACCUGCCGAUGACGUCGGGGAUAGCCUUUCGAAAGAAAGAUUAAUACCCGAUGGCAUAGUUCUUCCGCAUGGUAGAACUAUUAAAGAAUUUCGGUCAUCGAUGGGGAUGCGUUCCAUUUAGGG
rnacentral:rRNA from 1 species